UGAACUUUGACCUGGAAGCAGAAAGCAGCUGUGUGAUGAUGAUGAUGAUGAUGAAUGUGAUGAAGAGGUGAACUCUGAGAGGAUUGAGACGAACUUGAGUUUUUUGUUUGAAUGAGUGUUAAUCGUUUUUCAUUUAUUUCUGAAUGUUGAUAAUCGUUGUCAACAGCAGUAGAUGUCUGCCAGAUGUUGGAUACAUGGAGCUUUUAUGAAGCCUUAUGAAGUCUUUAUGAAGCCUUAAAGAAGUCUUUAUGAAGCCUUAUGAACCUUUAGCAGUCUUUAUGAAGCCUUAAAGAAGUCUUUAUGAAGCCUUAAGAAGUCUUUAUGAAGCCUUAAGAAAGUCUUUAUGAAGCCUUAAGAAGUCUUUAUGAAGCCUUAAGAAGUAUUUUUGAAGCCUUAAGAAGUCUUUAUGAAGCCUUAAAGAAGUCUUUAUGAAGCCUUAAAGAAGUCUUCAUGAAGCCUUAAAGAAGUCUUUAUGAAGCCUUAAAGAAGUCUUUAUGAAGCCUCUUUAUGAAGCCUUAAAGAAGUCUUUAUGAAGCCUUAAGAAGUCUUUAUGAAGCCUUAAAGAAGUCUUUAUGAAGCCUUAAAGUAGUCUUUACGAAGCCUUAAAGAAGUCUUUAUGAAGCCUUAAAGAAGUCUUUAUGAAGCCUUAAGAAGUCUUUAUGAAGCGUUAUGAAGAACGGGAUCAGAGAUCCUUGAUAUCCCUGUGUCAAAUCAUCCGAUACCUCACACAUCCAAAUUAGAGGCUUCUUCUGUUCCUCUGUCUUCUGAUGUUGGAGCUCAUUGACAAUUCAAAUCUCAGGUCUUAUUUGAGCAGCAAGAAAAGAUGCUUGAACAACUGAACA
rnacentral:lncRNA from 1 species